rnacentral:rRNA from 1 species
UAAACUACGAUUAGAUACCCUAUUAUUUUGGAUGUAAAUUGUAAAAACUUGAGUAGUAAUAAAUAUGUUCUUGAAACUCAAAGAAUUUGGCGGUGUUUUAGUCCUUUCAGAGGAACCUGCCCCGUGAUCGAUAGUCCACGUUUUAUCUUACUUAGUUUUGUUUUCAGCUUGUAUACCGCCGUCGUCAGAAUGUCCUUAGAGGGGUUUAAUUUUCUUGAUUUUUUAUUAAAAGUGAUGUCAGGUCAAGGUGCAGCUUAUGGCUAAGUGGAGGUGGGUUACAAUAGAGUUAUUUAAUACGGAUCAUAGAUGGAAGUAUUUAUUUGAAGGUGGAUUUGAUUGUAAUUAAUUUGAUUAAGUUAGUUUGAUUUUGGCUCUAAAACAUGCACACAUCGCCCGUCGCUCUUA